CUCUGCAUCUUCAAAUCUUUUUGCAGGAUCAGAAAACAAAACCAGGAGACCUGUAAAUGUUUCUUCUCCAAUUGGAUGAUGAUAAGACUGUGACACGGGAUGCCACCUUUAGUCUUGUGAUGAAGCAAAGCUCAGGAAGAAGUGUGAUUAAAUGGUACCCACAUGUGUGCUGCUGAGAAGGAUGUACAGGGGCACCUGCAGCCAAAUCCAAGCCUCCUCAGCAACUUCAGGUCUGUCAGCGUGCUGAGGUCACAGAAACAAGAAAAGAAGCUUCAGACUUCAGAGUGUUGUUUACAGUUUUCUGACAUCAUGAUCUCCC